UAAUGAUGGUGAGGGAAAUUUCUGAGCAUACUUUUAAAUCUCUCACAAGUGUGGUAAAGAUUCUCUCCUUCCUUCUGUCUGAAACUCAGAAUCUCACUUCUCAAAUG